UACGGGGGGGGCAAGCGUUGUUCGGAAUUACUGGGCGUAAAGGGCUCGUAGGUUGCCAACUAAGUCAGACGUGAAAUCCCUCAGCUUAACUGGGGAACUGCGUCUGAUACUGGAUGGCUUGAGUUUGGGAGAGGGAUGCGGAAUUCCAGGUGUAGCGGUGAAAUGCGUAGAUAUCUGGAGGAACACCGGUGGCGAAGGCGGCAUCCUGGACCAACACUGACACUGAGGAGCGAGAGCCAGGGGAGCAAACGGG
rnacentral:rRNA from 1 species